CAGUCGCCGCGGGAACACCAGCACCUCGAGUGGUCAGGAGGUUUAUUGGGCCUAAAGCAUCCGUAGCCGGUUGCAUAAGUUUUCGGUUAAAUCUAUGCGCUUAACGUAUAGGCCGCCGAAAAUACUGUGCAGCUAGGGAGUGGGAGAGGUACACGGUACUCGAUAGGAAGGGGUAAAAUCCUUUGAUCUAUUGAUGACCACCUGUGGCGAAGGCGGUGUACCAGAACACGUUCGACGGUGAGGGAUGAAAGCUGGGGGAGCAAACCGGAUUAGAUACCCGCGUAGUCCCUGUCUCUUAUAC
rnacentral:rRNA from 1 species